AACGAACGCUGGCGGCAUGCCUAACACAUGCAAGUCGAACGAGACCUUCGGGUCUAGUGGCGCACGGGUGCGUAACGCGUGGGAACCUGCCCUUAGGUUCGGAAUAACUCCCCGAAAGGGGUGCUAAUACCGGAUAAUGUCUUCGGACCAAAGAUUUGUCGCCUUUGGAUGGGCCCGCGUUGGAUUAGCUAGUUGGUAGGGUAAAAGCCUACCAAGGCGACGAUCCAUAGCUGGUCUGAGAGGAUGAUCAGCCACACUGGGACUGGGACACGGCCCAGACUCCUACGGGAGGCAGCAGUGGGGAAUAUUGGACAAUGGGCGAAAGCCUGAUCCAGCAAUGCCGCGUGAGUGAUGAAGGCCUUAGGGUUGUAAAGCUCUUUUACCCGGGAUGAUAAUGACAGUACCGGGAGAAUAAGCUCCGGCUAACUCCGUG
rnacentral:rRNA from 1 species